CCUACGGGACGCAGCAGGGAAUCUUCCACAAUGGACGAAAGUCUGAUGCAGCGACGCCGCGUGAGUGAAGAAGUAUUUCGGUAUGUAAAGCUCUAUCAGCAGGGAAGAAAAAAGACGGUACCUGACUAAGAAGCCCCGGCUAACUACGUGCCAGCAGCCGCGGUAAUACGUAGGGAGCAAGCGUUAUCCGGAUUUACUGGGUGUAAAGGGAGCGUAGACGGCGCGGCAAGUCUGAAGUGAAAGGCAGGGGCUUAACCCCUGAACUGCUUUGGAAACUGCCAUGCUAGAGUGCUGGAGAGGUAAGG
rnacentral:rRNA from 1 species